GUGCCUGUCUGCAUCACCAAUGCUAAAAUUGGAACAAUACAGAGAAGAUUAGCAUGGCCCUUGCGCAAGAAUGACACACAAAAUAAGUGAAGCAUUCCACUGAUUC